GAGAACAGCGUGGCUGUUCUUGCUACCACCUUGCCCCCCUUCUUGCUCAAAGCACUAUAUUUAGGGCAGAAAGAAAGGAAUGGAAAGAGGGAAAGGUAGUGUUUCAAUGCAAUCAUCUUCCUUUUAUGGGAGAUCUACCCAUGACUUUUAUGCAUGUCUCCUUGGCCAGAACACAGUUAUCUGACCAUCCCCACAUGCAUGGGAAGUAACAAAAUGGAGUUGUUGAGGUGGAUUCAUUGCCAUCCUGAGUAUCAAACUGGGGUUCUGUUAGCAAGGCACUAGGGCCAUAGGAAUAAAAAAAAAUUAAUGAGUUAAACAUUCAGAAAAUAUUUAUUGAAUGCUGUGUGCAAAAUGUGUAAGAGUUCUUCCUCAAGUGGCUUCCCUUUCUUUACUUUACAGCCUUCUUCCAACUGGAUCAUGUCCUUCCCUAGGUAAAAUUGUAAAUUGCUUAUGGAGUAAUUUACAAUUAUUACAUUUAGUAUGGGUUACUUACUUACUGCCCUAAGUGCUGAAUUUCCAUUAUUGCAUUUGGCCUUAACACCCUCAGGGUCCGGCACUGUUUUGUCCAUUUUACAGGUAAAGAAACUGGGGCACAGAGAGGUUAGGUCUCUUACCUGGUGACACACAGCUAGUGAUACUCUUUUCAGUGCUCUCAACUUCUUUUUUUGGCUCUCUCCACCCUAUUCAGACCUUACCUUCUUCAAAGCCGUUUACCUUUUGGUGCCUUUUCAUACCAGUUCAUUUCCUGAAUUAAAAUUAAUACCUCCCUACUUAAAGGAAAGGUGCUUCAUCCCUUUUUUAAAACUUAUCUAGGAUUUACAUUUUCUAAGAGAAUUUACAUUUUAAUAGGCUCAUUUUAUGUGAGAAUGGUGGAUCCAAAGUAAUGAAUUUUCAAGAGUAAGAAUUCCACCUGCUACAUGGAAGUGGGAAGCACUGGGUGAUGUCAGUCAAGGGAUUCCAGUGAAGAGGAAGUUGACAUUAUGGGAAAGAUUGUGUCAGGCAAAUUUCUGUUGGGCCAACUCAUCCUUGUGGGAAAGACAGAGUGAAAGAGAAAGAAAUGAUUUAGAUGAGUAUGGACAAUUUGCCUUUCAUUUGGUGCCAACCCAAUGUGAACAGGAGAGGGAGGACAUGACUCUCCUGCUUCUUGUUAGUUUCAGCUUCUGAUCCCUCUGGUAGUGUGGGCUUCUUGUCAUGUGAUUGGGAUGCUGGUGAUUAAAGAUUCACACUCUUAAUGCAUCGUGGCCCUUUGGUGCAAGCUGGUAACUUUCUCUAGUACUCAACUGUUUGUUUCAAAACUAGAGUCUAGUGUCUGUUUCAAAACUGGAGGAAAACGGGUUUGGAUAGACUAGGAGAGAUAGUUGUUUUUCUUUAAGAUGGUACCUCUCUCAAAUGCAUUGAGAAGAUUAAUUUCCCUCUACAUCAGGCUUUCUCAGCCUCAGCACUGUUGACAUUUUGGAAUGGAUAAUUUUCUUUUAUGGAGGGCUGUCUUCUGCAUUGUAAGGUAUGUAGCAGCAUCCCAAUCUCUACCCAGUGGAUUCUGGUUGUGACAACCAGAAAUAUCUUUGGGCAUUGCCACAUGUUCUCUAGGGGACAAAUCACCCCUGGUUGAGAAGUACUGCUCUACUUGACCUUAACUUGUGUACUGACUUCAAAACCUAAGCCCUGCCUAAGAUGUAACUCCAGUGCAUAUUCUUUGUAGCUUUAUUGAGAUACAAUUAAUAUAUAACAUUCCUAGUCCAUAUCUAUGAGACACCUGUAAAACUGCCCUGACUGCGUUAUUUGGGGCUGAGAAAUACCAUGUCUUACAGACAGUUAGACUCUACCUGUAACAUUCCAUUAAAUAUUUAUUGUGAUAGCCAUGUGCAAAGUGCUGAACAAAGGCCUGUGUAUAGCUGGGCAAAUCAUAGAUAUCAUUUUUUGCCCUCAUGAAGCUUCUACUCCACCUCUUUGUGCUCAUGAAGCAUUAAACAUUAAGUCAUAUAUUUUAUUAAAUCAGUAAGUGCUCUAACAGAAGAACAGGAUGGACUGACCAAGCUGAGGGGAUGAGAGAAGGUGAUGUUUAGUCAUUUAAUCUGAAAGAUAACCAGAUGACAGGGAGAAGAGUAUCCUGGGCAGAGGCAAAAGCAUAUACAAAGGCCCUGAGGCAGGAAGACAUGUAACAUAUUUGAUAGACAAAACCAGGGAUGCUGACACAAAGAAAAUAAGGCAAAGAGUACGGGAGAUGAAGUGGAGGAAUAUCUGGGCUAGACUGUUUUGCAGAUUUAGGAUUUUUAUCUUAAAAAUAGUGGGAAGCCAUUGAAUGAUUUUACACAGGGGUAUUCUAAGAUUCAAUUUGUGCUAUAAAAGGUCAGUCUGUAUCUGUCUAGGUCCAGAAAGCACAGGUUUCUCUCCAGACCAUGAGGGAUUGAUCUCACCCCAUGCCAGGCAACUCUGAUGGAGUCUUUUGAGGUUAUCACUACUGCUAGUGCCUGUACCCAUCCUCCAGCCAUCCCAAUUUGGAACCUUUUAAAACUUUAAAUAAAAGAAGCAGUUCCUGUUCGUGUUCUCUCUUUGUUCUCCUUUAAACCAUGAUUGAAGCUGGGCUCAGAUAUCUGAAAACCCCAGAGAAGAAAAUGAUUUCCAUAGCAGCUGUAACCAUGGGAAACCUUCAGAAUAGCUCCCAUUCCUAUAUUCCACACUGUUCUAUUGGUCGGCGAGAAAUGAGGGCUUGCAUUUUAGUGUUCUUUUUUGUUGAAAUCCAUGUAGAUGAGAGUCUUCCUCUCCCUUCCACAUACAUCUUAUCAUAGCUUGAGCAUCAAAGGAUGGCAUAUUUGGGGUGAAGAAGACACACUUGUUCAUAAGCUAGAGAAACUCAAGUGCAAUGUUGUUUUAGAAGCUGAGAUCUCAGGUUUCUUUUCCUGUUGCUUGUUUUCUCUCAGGUGGCAUGAUAGGAUCAAUUUCAAGUUCAUCUUUGAGAGGUAUCAGGAGCAAACACUUUUGUUUUUUCUUUUUGUGACACCUAAAAGUGGUGUUCAUCAAUUUCCCUUCUGUUUUGCAGAAACAAAUGAGCCCCCUGUCAUAAAAAUCAGGACUGUGGGGUUGGGGAGAUGGGGACUGAAUCUCUAGUCCAGUGCCUGUUUUUAGGAUGGGCAGAGGGCAAACAUGAGCUGGUCACUGUUUCUCUUAAUGAACAGAUUUUAAUGAAAUGAAGACAUGGCAACGACAAUGAAUCAGAAGUUACUGUGGCAAAAGCUAGUAAGGAGACUGGAAUACAUGAGUAUAGUGAUUGCUUUUGGAAUUUGGCCAGGCCACUGGGAGAGGCUCAGGAAGAAAGUUGAGAAAGGAAAUAAGAACUUUAGUCAAGUCCGUUGUGUGCUUUCUCAUUUCCAAAAUGUUUGAAAACCAUGUUGAGAAAUGCAUUGCUUAAGUUAAAACAUCUGCUGGCAACUUUUAUGUUCAUAGCUUCCCUGGGUCACCACAGAUAACAGGGGAACUUCUCCAAGGCCUCUGCAUGUACAAUUGAGAACUGGGGGAUUUCCUUCAUGCAACAUCCUUAUCCUGAUGGGACGACAUCCUUUUACCACCAGAACUCACUGUAUAAAAAGAAAUAAUGACUAUUGUGGAGCUGGACUUACCAUCUUUUGUUGUACUUUGAGGUUUAUGUUUUCAAACAAGGUACUCAGGACCUGGCAUUCAGUUAGUAAGAAUCAUGAUGCUGGAAUUUAAGAGAUUUACCCCAGUUGAAGAGCUUGGCCUGGCCUUGCAGAAUUUUCCCAGUGACUUUCAUGUGCCUGAUUCAACUAUACUUGUAAAAGUUAAAUAAGAUGACCUAUUCAGUUUACCUAGCCUAUGCUCCAUAAAUGCCAAUUCCCUUCUCUUGUUCAAGUUUUAUAAGUGCAAUUUUCAAGAAAGACAGUUAAGUCUGACUGCACCAUGUUGGGUGUGGGUAUGUUGAGCUACCACCCACAGCCUCAUGAACAUGUUCCGUGAACAUGUACUGUAUAAUCGAAUUGUGAGGCCUGGCAUGGUAGUGACAGUUCUUCAGUGUCUUUUGCUUGCAGUCAAGAUUGGUGAGCUGUGAAGCAGUCCUCUCAGUCUCCAGAGUGAGGCACUGGACAGUUUGCCUUGCUAGUAGGCUCUGGCCUCUUUGAAGCCAUGAAGAUUGGUCAAUUACCUAAGGUGCUAUUGCCCAUACUUUAAAAACUCACUUUACCAGAAUCUGCCUGUUAAUAUGUUCUUCCUGUUGAGAAGUCAUUAGUUGCUACAUAUUAAUAACAAAAGCCUCUUAUCCUUUAGACUAUGAUUUGGCUCAUGGAAAAUGUUUCAAUAUGUAUCCAUCUUUCAAGGGCAUUUUGAGGAAUUUCUAAAUUCAAGACUUCCUUU